rnacentral:rRNA from 1 species
UGGGGAAUAUUGCACAAUGGACGGAAGUCUGAUGCAGCAACGCCGCGUGCGGGAUGACGGCCUUCGGGUUGUAAACCGCUUUUUCUCAUGACGAAGUUUUUUGACGGUAGUGGGGGAAGAAGCACCGGCUAACUACGUGCCAGCAGCCGCGGUGAUACGUAGGGUGCGAGCGUUGUCCGGAAUUAUUGGGCGUAAAGGGUUCGCAGGCGGAAAUGCAAGUCAGGUGUAAAAGGCAGUAGCUUAACUACUGUAAGCAUUUGAAACUGCAUAUCUUGAGAAGAGUAGAGGUAAGUGGAGUUUUUAGUGUAGCGGUGAAAUGCGUAGAUAUUAAAAAGAAUACCGGUGGCGAAGGCGACUUACUGGGCUCAUUCUGACGCUGAGGAACGAAAGCGUGGGUAGCAAACAGG